rnacentral:lncRNA from 1 species
CUCUAGGUUAAUAUUCUCCUAGUCCAAGUCGAAUACGCCUCUUCAAAAGACUUAUAUUUGAGUCAUACUCUUAACAAUCUCUGUUUUGACUUAAAUUCCGGUGCUAUGAACGAAACUCCUAGAUUUCAAAUUCAUCUGCAUUGAAAUCAACUGGCCGAAUCUCCUCAUCACAGUAAUCACUCCAUAUAAACCAAACACUCGUCCUCUGUCCGACGUCCACAACUGACACCCGAACCCAAUCCUCAGGGUUCCCAAUUCUACCUAGGAAUUAAUGUUGAUCACACAGAGUCGAAGCACACCCUGUAACAAGAACCAAACUAGAUGCUUGAUCAGAAGGCCCCUUGCUGGAACUGUCGCCUUCAACGUCCCUAAAAACAUCCCAGACAUUGCUAACAUCACGGUACCUACGCUCGAUGAGUCCUACCCCAGCAACUGAACAUAGUGUACUCGCUGAAAUUGGUGGCAAAGUGGAAUCACUAACGCUCUCUCUAGCAGUGUUCUGAAUCGACUCAGAGCGCAACGCAAGAGGUACUGUACCAAACUGAACUUCCACCACGGUACUAAAUUUGUCCAAAUGUCUCCUCUUAACUGGUUCUGCACUCCCCUGCAAAAUGUACAACUGGUAUAUUUUUCGUCCCUCCAGUACAACUCGGACUCCAUUUCAGACCUUCAAGACUCCACCUUCUCUAGAGAAUUUAUACCCUUUUGCAUCCAGGGUACUUAGCGAAAUGAGAUUCCUUUUCAGGUCAGGAACAUGUCGAAUCAGAUCAAUUGUUCUAAAUGUUCCAUCUUGCAGCUUCAAUAUGACUCGACCUAUCCCAGCAAUACAGCAAAAUUGGUUAUUUCCUAUUAUAACUCCACCUUGCUAAACAGUCUCAUAUGUCUUAAAUAAAUUCCUAUCGGAACACAUAUGGUGCGAACAUGUUGAAUCAAAAAUCCACUCCUCAUUAGGCCUAGAUUCCACAUCAGAUACCACGGUCAACAUCACAUCUUCACCAUCUGAACAAUUCUCAACUACAUUGGUUUUCUCUGAAUUCAAAGGUUGCACCCCACGAUUUGUAGCUAAAUCACCUUUAGCCUGCAACAUAUAGCAAUCCUUCCGAAUAUGUCCCUUCCUUUUGCAGUAGUAACAUGUCACAUUGCUAAAUCUAACUCUCGAUCUGCCUCUUCGUCGACUACCUUGAGAUAUAAGAGCUUCCCCAUCCCUUGAUGUAGCUCUAAACAAAUGCUUCCAAUUUCUCCUUUAAGUGCAAAACAUCAUAGACAUCUUGUAUAGUCAAAGUAUCUCGACUAUAGAAGAUAGUAUCCCAAAACAACGCAUAAGAUCCAGGCAGCAAACAUAAUAGGAUCAAGACAAGAUCCUCUUCAUCGUACUUAACCUCCAACGUCUCCAGAUCUGCAAUUAUUUCCUUAAACACGCCAAUGUGAUCUUCCAACAAUCCUCUUUUCGCCAUGCAAUGGGAAUACAGCUUCUUUUUGAGAGUCAGUUUACUUGUAAGAUUCUUAGUCAUACACAAUUGCUCCAACUUCAACCACAAAGCAGCCGCCGUUUUCUCUUUCAAAACAUUUUGCAAAAUAUUGUUGGAUAAAUGAAGAUGAAUCAACGACACAGUCUUUCGAUCCUUCCAUUAUUUCUCCUCUGUUGUCCAACCACCUGGCAUCCUCUCAAUACCCAGCAAUGCAUCAUCCAAAUCCAAUUGCGCCAAAAUAGCCAUCAUCUUUACUUGCCACAACGAGAACCUUGUAUUACGAUCUAACAGCAGAACAUCAUACUUCAACCCAGCCAUCUCGAAAGAAUCUCAACCAAUCCACAGAAAAUCAACAACCUCACUCUGAUACCACUUGUUGGGCGGAAGCUCCAAUAACACACGUUAAUUCCAAACCGAAUUAUAAAUUACGAGAUUUAAUGAAAAUAUUGAAGUAUACUAGAUCACACCAUAAAAACACAAGAUUGAAUUUGUAAAGAAAGAACACAAAAGGGUAAACGCAGAGAAACGAUGUUUAUUAAUUCAACAGUACAGAGAAUAUAAG